AGUUCAGCAACUUCCUGUUCUUCCUCCCAGGCUUCCUUGUGCGUUAGCUGACUGCUUCCAGUACUCUUACACGUCCAAAUGCGCUCACUGUACCUUUCCAAGCGGGCUUCAUACUCUCUGUUGCAGUGGCUCAGGAAAACAAUUCCCGGGUGCGGAAGGCCUCCUGCGUGUGCGGGAUGGUGAAGAGCGGCUCCUCUCCGGGCAGCGGCUUCACCAGCGGGAAGGGCUUGCGGCCCAAGAGCGGCGCCAUCGCGGCGGAGAAGGCGGCGGCGGCGGAAGCGGGGGUCGCGCGGCUCCUCGCCGGCCCCGCAGCGCAGCACUAGGCCCCGGGCCCCGAGCGAGCGCCUGGCUCCCGGGGCGGUGGGGGAGGGGAGGGGUGAGAGGGCGGCGCGAACUCCGGCUCCCUCACGGCCGGCGCGACCGCACGACAGCCAUGGAGCGGAGCGCGAGGACGCGCAGAAGCUCCCACUCACACCCCUGCGACUCCCAGCAGCCUCUCUCACCCUCGGCCAAUCUUCGCUAUGGGUCCCCGCAGCCGGCAGUCACGACUCCUUAGUGGCACCGGAGGAAAUUAUUGAAAAAUGGCGGGAGAUUCCCCUCCUCCCCCCCGGCCGGGCCAGCGUACACACUAACUUGCUCCCCAGUGGCGCCGGUGGAGAAUGCGCCAAUAGGCGGACAGCUGGUCAGCACUCACUGUCUAUUGGCUCGAAGCAGCUGCCGCUCUGCGGCUGGGUCCCGCCCUCCUGCCCCUGCCGCGUAGUUAGGUUGCAGUGCACCAGAGGGCAGUCUGAAGAGGUGAAAGGUCACGUUAUGUAAGCGCUAGUGACAGACGUGCGGGCCUCCGGCAGCUGAGUUAAAAGUGCGAGACAGCGGGGAACAGAGAACGCGAGAGCUCGAGGAGCACAGGGUCAAAGUGAGUAACUCAUGAACCUGUCCGAGGACUGGCUUGCACUCAGUGCAACCAGUGAGUGAAGUGUGACUCGCAGCGCAACGCCAGUGCAGGGCCGCUCCAGAGCCUGCUCUUCCCAGGCGCUCCCCCACAUCCGGCCCACACCAGCCUACACCCAGCCCACAGCCUUCCAGAAUGAAGAGCUCAGAUACCAACAGGAC
rnacentral:lncRNA from 1 species